UGAUAAACGGCGGCUGUAUCGUAAACGGUCCUAAGGUAGCAAAAUUCCUUGUCGGGUAAUCUCCGUCCUGCAUGAACGGUGUAACGACUUCCCCAUUGUCGCUAGUGUGAGACUCCUAAUAAAUAGAAUUAUCCAUGAAUAUGUGGAAUACUACGGCCCGACGGUAAGACCCUGAGCACCUUAACUUCCCUAAAA
rnacentral:rRNA from 1 species